rnacentral:rRNA from 1 species
CAGCCGCCGCGGGAAUACGAAGGGGGCUAGCGUUGUUCGGAAUCACUGGGCGUAAAGCGCACGUAGGCGGACUUUUAAGUCAGGGGUGAAAUCCCAAGGCUCAACCUUGGAACUGCCUUUGAUACUGGAAGUCUUGAGUUCGGGAGAGGUGAGUGGAACUGCGAGUGUAGAGGUGAAAUUCGUAGAUAUUGGGAAGAACACCGGUGGCGAAGGCGGCAACCUGGCUCAUUACUGACGCUGAGGCGCGAAAGCGUGGGGAGCAAACAGGAUUAGAUACCCCAGUAGUCCCUGUCUCUUAUAA